UCCCCGUGUCCCAUUGCAGGAACAGCACUAAACCUGCAGCCCAUUACCGACAGACUUGAGGUGGUCAGAGCCGACUCACAUGGCAGACGUUGCUUGUGAAAUGCCAACCAGGGACCAGAUGCAGCUUAUUAAAAAGAUGUCAUCUCCUGCCAACUUCAGCAGAAGUGAACUGAUGGCAAAUUUGACACAUUCAUUUUCGGAAGUUAUUACACCAAAUUGAAUGGCGCUUUUACCACCAUGAUGAAGAGGUAAUGGUCUUGCUAAUGCAGAG